rnacentral:tRNA from 1 species
GGCUUUAUAUUCAAUAAUGAUAUUAGACUGCAAUUCUAAAGGAGUAAAUGGCUAUUUACUAAGGCUU